CAUCCCUUAACCCUACCGGCUACCUCUGUGCCCGGAACACAGCCGCCGCCCCCCGCCUCCAAGCAGCAAGGCAGCAACCAUGGCGGCUUUGUUGCUUCUUGCCGCCUCCAGCACAGCCGUGAACCGCUGCCGGCUCCUCGUCUCUCCUCCCAGUCUUCGGAUGUGCCUUGCUUCAUUAGUUCAUUUCCUUCUAGCCCCGAAUCUACGUGUUUUCUCUACUUUUUUUUUCCGCUGCCAAGUGAUGCUGGGAAUAUUGCGCAAGGGCUUUGAGCAAUUAGUGGCUUGUGUUUGCCUGAUGCGAUGAGAUCACAAGAGAUGUAUUAUCCCUUCUGAUGGCAGCAGUUCAUUUGCUUUGUGGUUUUGUGAGGUGUUGAGCAAGAAAGCAUUUACCUUGCCGAUUCUGCUUGUGCUUGGUUUUUUUUCCUGAAAUAUAAGAUCUAUUCCCAUCCCUUUUCAUUGCCAAGUGAUGCUGGGAUUAUUGCGCAAGGGCUAUGAGCAGUUCAUGGGCACUUUGUGGCCCAACCCGCGGUGAUAUGAAUACAUGACAUCCCUUCUGAUGGCAAUUUGGUUAUGGUUAAGAAAUCAACUACUCCUAGUAUACUCCAUAACCGCUGUUCUAAGUACGCUUUGCCUGUUGCCUGUUGCUUGAUUUUAUGCUAGAUGGCAUUAGCAGCUUUAUAAAUUAGCUUUUGCAAGUUUGUUUUAAAAUGUUAUUCUCAUGUCAGUAACAUUGAAGCAAAGCUUUGGAUUCACAGCUUGUUUGGCGUUGGUAGCGUUUGGGAGUCGGACUGAAUCCAAGAAGCUCGUGAAGCUUUGUACUAUUCUUUUUCUAGCAAUUCUAUGUUUCUCGAGUAACUCAUGAACUUCUGGUCACAGUCUGAAUAACAUAGUUAACAUUCGUUUACUGGAGUUAGUAUUGGACAACUAGUUAACAUUCGAUUGGGAAUGUUCAGUGAUCUAACAUGGAAACACACCAUCGCAACCGCUCUUGUUUUCUUCCCGCAGUAGAGGCUUUAAUGUGCUAGAAUGGCGUUGUAGUAGCCCUUCCUUAAACCAUCUAUGCAGAGUGCUCUUCUUUACACCAAUAGCAUUAGCUAGAGAUCGUAUACUGCUCCUCCUAUGCAAGGGGACACUAAGGAUAUCUGAUAGGUCUAUUUGUAUCUUUUUGCGGCCACAAUUUUUCUUCCUUGAUCUAACAUCCACUGGUAUUCCUUGUGCACGACACUGCUUCACUCUCCGCCAAACACUUCGUACUUGAUAUUUACUGACCUGGAACAUUUGAACUACUAUAUUCAUGGCGUUCCUUUUUAAUCUUCCACGAUUGCUUCUCUCAAUCUCAAGCAAUGCUGCAUAUAUUUCUUGCCUUUCAACUUCUGUCAAAUUCCUAGACUUGCGUGCAGUAUUUUCAUCCGCAUGUUCAUCUUCUUCAUCAUCAGAGUCCUCCAACUCUUCAUCAAAGGUUAUGUCCACAUCAUCAGUGUACACACCAUAGUCAUGCAUAUCCUCGAUCAUACCUACAAAAAAGAAAAAACAAUUCAGGUAAGGCAGCUGUACGAAGAUGUUGUUAAGACUCUUGGUAAUGAAAAAAAUCCAUGCUUACUGGAUAUGCAGAUAUGGAUGAUAGGUUUCACUAAAAAUUAAUCUGGUUUCCAAAACAUGGUGAAGUAUUUGACAGCUAUGUUUCAGAAGGAGCGUAGAAGUAAGCUAAACACAACAACUCAAGUUAUUUAGGAAAACUCUCUGAACCUAGUUUAGUCAAUGUUGCAUUGAAAAAAUAAGUAAAAAGGGUUGCUGAUUUGAGGCUUACUGAUCAUUUGUCGCAUCUCUUGUUGGUGAUCUGAGGCUUCUAAGUUGAGGUCAAAUGCACCAUAGUCAUGUGGACCAUUAAAGUUGAUAUCUCCAUCUUGGUGAUUUGAAGCUUCUAAGUUGAGGUCAAAUACAUCAUGUUCAUCUGGACCAUCAAAGUUGAUAACUCCAUAUUGUUGAUGGUCUUCCUCAACAGCAAGGACUGCAAUAAGGUUCUUGUAGUCCCUCACAAGGAGCAAAAUUGAGAUCUAUGCCAUGCACAGCUCUGUGUUCCCCUUCAUAGAGAUAGUGGGCUUGACCUUCUUGGACUCGACGGAGUUCAUUUUCUUUGAGAUGAACUUGAUCUUCCUGAAGAUGAUGGAUUUCAUCUCCAUGCUCACCAGGAGGUUCUUCAUUCAGGUCAGGCUGAGGAAGAUGGAGUGGAUUGCAUGCUGGUCAGUUUGGAGCAAGUGGAUGCCUCACGAGCAUGUGAAGUCUUUUGUAAUGGAGGCAAUGGCGCGGAGUUAAGAUUUGAAUCUCCAGGCACAGUUGGCGCCCGAGAUGUCCUGGAAGUUUCCGCAAUGGUCUUUGAUGACCCUUUGUUUAUUGGCUUUUGUUUAUUCUUGGCCACACAUUCGUUGUGCAACCGUGUUGUGCUGCCACGUGCUUCUCUAUUUGGGCUUUGUUUAGUUAUAUUCAAAAUCCAAUUUUUUUAAA